UACGGAGGGAGCUAGCGUUAUUCGGAAUUACUGGGCGUAAAGCGCACGUAGGCGGCUUUGUAAGUUAGAGGUGAAAGCCUGGAGCUCAACUCCAGAAUUGCCUUUUAAGACUGCAUCGCUUGAAUCCAGGAGAGGUGAGUGGAAUUCCGAGUGUAGAGGUGAAAUUCGUAGAUAUUCGGAAGAACACCAGUGGCGAAGGCGGCUCACUGGAGCUG
rnacentral:rRNA from 1 species